CACGUAGGGGGCAAGCGUUGUCCGGAAUCAUUGGGCGUAAAGAGCUCGUAGGCGGUUCGGUAAGUCGGAUGUGAAAACUCAGGCUCAACCCGGAGACGCCAUCCGAUACUGCUGUGACUUGAGUCUGGUAGGGGAACACGGAAUACCUGGUGUAGCGGUGAAAUGCGCAGAUAUCAGGUGGAACACCGAUGGCGAAGGCAGCCCCCUGGGCCAAUACUGACGCUCAGGCACGAAAGCGUGGGGAGCAAACAGG
rnacentral:rRNA from 1 species